CACACUGGCACUGAGACACGGGCCAGACUCCUACGGGAGGCAGCAGUGAGGAAUUUUGCGCAAUGGGGGCAACCCUGACGCAGCAACGCCGCGUGUGGGAAGAAGGCUUUCGGGUUGUAAACCACUUUUGUAAGGGACGAAGUCCUGCCGGUCAACACCCGGCGGGGAUGACGGUACCUUGCGAAUAAGCCACGGCUAACUCUGUGCCAGCCGCCGCCGUAACAC
rnacentral:rRNA from 1 species